CUAUUCAUUGCACUUAAUGCAAAUUAGGUGGCCCAUCACUUGCUUUUAUUCCAUUCCAUAGAAGUACCUUUGUGCCUCUGGAGCUGAGCACAGGCUGUAAUAGUUGCCUUUGAGUUUAAAUCUUUGUGAAAGCAGAGAAAUUCUCUAUUUGAACAUUUGAUGUGUAUGAGAUUUUUCAGUAAUUUUUAGACAUGAAUAUGUUGAUCCCAUUCAUUAAAGGAAGAGACUCUUGUUAUAAAUAUGAUAGAACUUGUUCACUUUAUUUUCAAGUAUCUAUUGGGAUAAUUUUCACUUCUGGCUGCCUAAAGUGACCACACAAAAUGUAGUUUAGUCUACCUUUUAAACCUAAGUUGUAGAUUAUAGACACAUUUUCAAUGUGCAACACAACAGGAGGCAUUCUUGUUAAAUUAGUUUGAGAAAUUCCUUUUAUUUUGUACAAGGUACAGUCCCUUUGCACAGUGAACAAAUAUAUUACAAAUCUGGGUUAUUUAAAAAAGUAUUGCCAUUUCAUAGUCUCACUUAUGCUAUUGUACAAUAAUAGUGUUUUCUUUAUUCAUUUGAAUUGAAUGCAAAUUACUUUGAGUGAAAACUGGUUUCUGUAAAAUAAACAGAUCUUUCCAAGUUGCCAACAAAAUGCACAGUGCACAUAUUUAGGUUGACCAUGAACCUAUGUGUGACAGUGCUAGACAGAAGUUCCUAACAGUUGCUCUGUAAGAUUGAAAUGUCUUUUACCAGUAACUCUUAGAUCUGUGAAGGCAGCUGUUGUCACCAGAGAUGAAUCACACCCUCUGCCUUUCCCUUCUCUGUAUUGCCUAAUUUGAAUUGUAUUACAUUUCUUUAACAGUCAUAGAAUGCUAGAGCCAGAGGGUUGUUAGAGCUUCUUCCCUCUCUCUCCUUCUCCCCUUUUUAAUAUGUGAGGAAGAAAGGAGCCCAGAGAGGGCAAGUAACACUCAAAUCUCUUAACCCCAUGUUUUAGCAGUUCCAUCAUGCUCCCUCUUGCUGAAUUUUGCCCAUAAGAUAGUUGGCAAACAAGAGGCGACACUUGAAACUGGCAUGAUGCUGCUUGUUUGCAGUGUGCCAGGCAGCAGUUACUGUACAUGCAGGGUAGGGGAAGAAGAUAAAGCCUGGGAUGGAGAUGAAGUUUCUCCUGGCUGAUCUGACUUCGCCAUGCUUCUUGAUCCUUGCUUUACAAAGAUAAUUGAGCACUUGCUGCCGUGAAAUACUGAGGCUUUUGUGGAAAGGAAAUUUGCUAUUGCUGAUCACUUGCUCCCAUGCACACAUGCAGCAUUCAUGUUCUAUACUACAUCAAGCUCAAGAUUUAUGAAGAAAUGCAUGAAAGCAAGUACUCUUCUGAGUCAAGGGAUGCCAAUCAAAUAAAUUCGGGAGGCCUUUAGGGAUACUUCGUUCUUACCAGUCUGUGACUGCUUGCUAAAAGGCAUCAUCUCAGAGUUCUGUUUCACAUGGAAUGACUCAGGUGUUGGAUGGAUUGAGGAGCUAUGACCAGGCUAGGAAUGACUUGGCAAUGUUCUCAAACUUUGAAUCAGCAAGAUUUGGUAAAGCUGGCCUAGAAAUCAUUAUAGACUGAAAGAGGCUGCUGCGCUUUGAAAACUCCUACUACCACGAAGGGCAGAAGAGGGAAAGUUAAUUUGUAUUUAUUAAAGUCUUAUUUU